GAGUCUUAAUUGGGCGUUAAGUUGCAGGGUAUAGACCCGAAACCCGGUGAUCUAGCCAUGGGCAGGUUGAAGGUUGGGUAACACUAACUGGAGGACCGAACCGACUAAUGUUGAAAAAUUAGCGGAUGACCUGUGGCUGGGGGUGAAAGGCCAAUCAAACCGGGAGAUAGCUGGUUCUCCCCGAAAGCUAUUUAGGUAGCGCCUCGUGAAUUCAUCUCCGGGGGUAGAGCACUGUUUCGGCUAGGGGGCCAUCCCGGCUUACCAACCCGAUGCAAACUGCGAAUACCGGAGAAUGUUAUCACGGGAGACACACGGCGGGUGCUAACGUCCGUCGUGAAGAGGGAAACAACCCAGACCGCCAGCUAAGGUCCCAAAGUCAUGGUUAAGUGGGAAACGAUGUGGGAAGGCCCAGACAGCCAGGAUGUUGGCUUAGAAGCAGCCAUCAUUUAAAGAAAGCGUAAUAGCUCACUGGUCGAGUCGGCCUGCGCGGAAGAUGUAACGGGGCUAAACCAUGCACCGAAGCUGCGGCAGCGACACUGUGUGUUGUUGGGUAGGGGAGCGUUCUGUAAGCCUGUGAAGGUGGCCUGUGAGGGUUGCUGGAGGUAUCAGAAGUGCGAAUGCUGACAUAAGUAACGAUAAAGCGGGUGAAAAGCCCGCUCGCCGGAAGACCAAGGGUUCCUGUCCAACGUUAAUCGGGGCAGGGUGAGUCGACCCCUAAGGCGAGGCCGA
rnacentral:rRNA from 1 species